GAUGAACGCUAGCGGCAGGCUUAACACAUGCAAGUCGAGGGGUAGAAAUAGCUUGCUAUUUUGAUACCGGCGCACGGGUGCGUAACGCGUAUGCAAUCUGCCUUGUACUGGGGAAUAGCCCGGAGAAAUCCGGAUUAAUGCCCCAUAGUAUUUUUGUGUGGCAUCACACGAUUAUUGAAGAUUUAUCGGUACAAGAUGAGCAUGCGUCCCAUUAGUUAGUUGGUGUGGUAACGGCACACCAAGACGAUGAUGGGUAGGGGUCCUGAGAGGGGGAGCCUCCAAACGGGUACUGGGACACGGACCAGACUCCGACGGGAGGCAGCAGUGAGGAAUAUUGGUCAAUGGGCGCAAGCCUGAACCAGCCAUGCCGCGUGCAGGAUGACGGCCCUAUGGGUUGUAAACUGCUUUUAUACGGGAAGAAACACCUCUUCGUGAAGAGGCUUGACGGUACCGUAAGAAUAAGGAUCGGCUAACUCCGUGCCAGCCGCCGCAGUAAGAC
rnacentral:rRNA from 1 species